AGCGUAGACGGUGUGGCAAGUCUGAUGUGAAAGGCAUGGGCUCAACCUGUGGACUGCAUUGGAAACUGUCAUACUUGAGUGCCGGAGGGUAAGCGGAAUUCCUAGUGUAGCGGUGAAAUGUUCGUAGAUAUUAGGAGGAACACCAGUGGCGAAGCGGCUUACUGGACGGUAACUGACGUCGAGGCUCGAAAGGCGUGGGAGCAAACA
rnacentral:rRNA from 1 species